rnacentral:rRNA from 1 species
GUGUCGUGUGUGAAGGCGUACGGUGGAUGCCUGGGCACCAGAUGCUGAUGAAGGACGUGGGAGGCCGCGAUAGGCCUGGGGGAGCUGUCAACCGAGCUGUGAUCCCAGGGUGUCCGAAUGGGGUAACCUGGCCGGGGUGAUGCCCGGUCACCGGUGUCUGAAGAGAUUAGGGCGCCGGGGGGCACGUGGGGAACUGAAACAUCUCAGUACCCGCAGGAAGAGAAAACAAUAGUGAUUCCCUGAGUAGUGGUGAGCGAACGGGGAGGAUGGCUAAACCGUCUGCGUGUGCAAGCCGGUAGGUGUUGCGUGGGCGGGGUUGUGGGAGCGCCUGGUCAUCGCUACCGCGGUGGCGCUGGGUGUGUGGUGCUAGCUGAAGGCGUUGGAAGGCGCUGGCGGAGUGGGUGAGACCCCCGUAGGUGAAGGCACUGCAUGGCUGGUGGGGCGUGGUCCCGAGUAGCGCGGGACUCGUGUAAUCUCGUGUGAAUCGGCCAGGACCGCCUGGUAAGCCUGAAUACGUCUGGUGACCGAUAGUGGAUGUGUACCGUGAGGGACUGGUGAAAAGUACCCCGGGAGGGGAGUGAAAGAGUUCCUGAAACCGUGCGCUGUUAAUCCGUCAGAGCAUGCUGCCGUGGUGGUGUGUGAUGGCGUGCCUUUUGAAGAAUGAGCCUGCGAGUUAGUGGUGCGUGGCGAGGUUAACCCGUGUGGGGGAGCCGGAGCGAAAGCGAGUCUGAAUAGGGCGAGGUAGUCGCGUGCUCUAGACCCGAAACCGAGUGAGCUACCCGUGGCCAGGGUGAAGCGCGGGUAAGACCGUGUGGAGGCCCGAACCCACCAGGGUUGAAAACCUGGGGGAUGAGCUGUGGGUAGGGGUGAAAGGCCAAUCAAACUCGGAGAUAGCUGGUUCUCCCCGAAAUGCAUUUAGGUGCAGCGUCGCGUGGUGCUUGGUGCAGGUAGAGCGACUGGAUGGCUGAUGGCCCGGUGUGGGUACUGACGUCAACUAAACUCCGAAUGGCAUCAACGUUGCAGCGUGGCAGUGAGUCCGUGGGGGAAAAGCUCCAUGGUCGAGAGGGAAACAGCCCAGAUCACCGGCUAAGGCCCCGAAGUGUGUGCUGAGUGGAAAAGGAUGUGGGAUCGCCGAGACAACCAGGAGGUUGGCUUAGAAGCAGCCAUCCUUGAAAGAGUGCGUAACAGCUCACUGGUCAAGUGAUCCUGCGCCGAUAAUGUAGCGGGGCUGUCAAGUACACCGCCGAAGCCGUGACACGACAGUGUGACUGUUGUGGGUAGGGGAGCGUCCUGCACACCAGUGAAGCAUCGUCCGUAAGGGGGUGUGGAGGGUGUGGGAGUGAGAAUGCAGGCAUGAGUAGUGCAUGGACAGUGAGAAUCUGUCCCGCCGGAAGACCAAGGGUUCCAGGGCCAGGUUGAUCCGCCCUGGGUGAGUCGGAUCCUAAGGCGAGGCCGUCAGGCGUAGUCGACAGGACAACGGGUUGAUAUUCCCGUACCCGCGCGGCACCGCCCCAUACCAGCCCCGACUGGUUGCUGGUCAACGCAUGUCCCUGCGGGGGAUUCGUCCCGCGUGUGGGGGGUGUGUGGCUGGCGCUGGUGGGUGUGCUGGUCAGCGAGGGGGUGACGCAGGAGGGUAGCCCAGCCCGGGCGAUGGUUGUCCCGGGGUAACGGUGUAGCAUGGCCGCCCAGGCAAAUCCGGGUGGUCGCGACGUGUGAGACCGGAUGCCGAGCCGGUGUGGCGAAGUGGGUGAUCCCUGGCUGCCGAGAAAAGCCUCUAGCGAGGGGCCGCGUGGUCCGUACCCGAAACCGACACAGGUGGUCUGGUAGAGCAUACCGAGGCGAGCGGGAUAACCGUGGUUAAGGAAUUCGGCAAAAUGUCCCCGUAACUUCGGGAGAAGGGGAGCCGCCGCUGGUGAUCCCCCUAUGGCGGGG